ensembl:lncRNA
CCGCCUCCCCCGCCCGCACCCGACCACCGGACCGGCCGCACGGCACCGGCGGGAGGUGCAUGCUGGGAUGUCCCGCACAGGAACUUCCUGGGUGGUUGGGGGGCGGGGGCGGGGGAGGGAGGUGGUGUGGGCGGGGCUUGUUGCAUGUAGGACUCCAUCCAGCUGCUGCUCCUUAGACUGAUUGACAGGAACUGGAACACGGAAGGGGUGUUGAGGAGGAGGAGGAGGGGGGACAGGAAGUGAAGACCCUCACCCGACCCCCGCCUGGAGUUACAAAAAAAGAGGACCAGUGAGGGGCCAGAGGAGCCCUGCUGCUAGCGGGGGCGGGGCCUCGGCCGUUUUCCACGCGGUCCACAAGACUGUACGACCGGCUGGCGCUCCCUGAACUUAACUUAUUACCCUUUACCCGCCGCUCACUACCGCUGUUUGGGUUACCACACACACACACACACACACACACACACACACACACACACACACACACACACACACACACACACACACACACACACACACACACACACACACACACACACACACACACACACACACACACAAAUAUAUGCGCCACCACACAAAUAUGCGCCACCACACACACACACAUGAACAUACUCUACCCCGGACAGUUCAGAGCCUGCCCUGUUCUGCCAGCCAACGGUUCACCGAUGGACGGACGGACAGACAAAGUGUGCACUUACACUUUCUCGAACACUUCUCUCUCUCUCUCUCUCUCUCUCUCUCUCUCUCUCUCUCUCUCUCUCUCUCUCUCUCUCUCUCUCUCUCUCUCUCUCUCUCUCUCUCUCUCUCUCUCUCUCUCUCUAACACACACAACCAUGUAACCACGCACACAGCCUAGCCUCAGCCCGCGGUUUUACAGAGAAGAACCACAACGAGGCCUCUCGUUGUUGUUUAAUGAUGGCCGCCGCCGCCGCGCGCGUUAAAUGUAGCUGGACGCAGCGCGGAGCUACGGCCCCCAGUCCAGCGGCCGGCGACGCCCACGGGGAACCCCUCCCGUGCCGGGGCCCGCGAGGAGGGGUUGGCUACGGGGCCAAUUCCUCACCAUCACAGCCCCUGACUUGUCCACAACCGCUAAUUGCUCCCAGAAUGCAACGCUGUCCGUCUGCGCUCCCGGCACUCUGAAACCCUUCAUCUCGGAGGCGAUGGUAUUGGUGGAGGAGAGGGACCCGUAACAGGCUGGGAUGAUGGCUGGAUCCGGUGGGGUGGGGGGGCCAAGGAGGAGGUCCCAUGCAGCAGUAUUGCCGUCUUUUGUUGAGCGGUUGAACUCAACGGGGGGGGGGGGUAUGUGCAGGGGGUCGGCUUGUUUAUCUGGAGGGGAGAAAGGAACACAAGGAAACAAAGCGUGCGUUCGAUUCCGGCGCACCCCUGGACUAUUGUCAAUUUUCUUCCCGCAAAUGGAUGGGUUUAUUGGAUUUACCUCGGCUGCUGUUUCCUUCAAUCACAACGCCAUUUCAGACGGCGGCCGUUACUGUCAUGAAGGGGAGGGGGAGGGGGAGGGGCGAGUGGGAGGAACGAAAACAUUCGAGGCACAGAGAAAAACGGUUUCAAAAGAAGGACAUAAAAAAAAGAGCGGUUCUUCAAAAAACGAGAACUACUUUCUGAAAUGUCGGCCGCGGUCGCGGGGACGUGGGCGGCCGAGCGCCCCGCGGAGCGCUUGUUUUCCUCGCCUUGUCGGAGCGUUUGCUGUUUUUCCUGUUUUCGUCCCCCCCUCCCUUCCCCAAUCCCCCUCCUUUGACAAAUGAACCCGAGGGAAUGGAAGCGUGCUGCUGGCCAGGGUGAUGCCGCGUGUAUGUGCGUGUGUGCGCGUGUGCGCGUGCACACACCGCCGGCUCCAGCGCUGGCGUUUGCGCGGCCCGCUAAUGCUAGCGCGCCGCGGCGCUGCCCCCCGCGGGGCUCAUGAGGGAUUAAUGGCUAGCGUGCGCGGCGGCGCUAAAGGUCACGCUUUUAGCGCACGGGGGGAAAGGUCGGAGGAGAGCGGGAACAAAAGGUGACAUUCUGAUAUUAAAUGAAUUGGUGUUGGGGGGGGACGACGACUCCCUCCAUCUGCCCCUCGGGUAGGCCCCCUUUCUUCCCCAUCCCCCCCAUUUCCUUCAUCUCCUCUUUCCCCCACAUCUUAUCC